AUCCGGCUGACGAGUCCCAAAUAGGACGAAACGCUCGUCCUGGAC
rnacentral:hammerhead_ribozyme from 1 species